UACGUAGGGUGCAAGCGUUAAUCGGAAUUACUGGGCGUAAAGCGUGCGCAGGCGGUUCGCUAAGACCGAUGUGAAAUCCCCGGGCUUAACCUGGGAACUGCAUUGGUGACUGGCGGGCUAGAGUAUGGCAGAGGGGGGUAGAAUUCCACGUGUAGCAGUGAAAUGCGUAGAGAUGUGGAGGAAUACCGAUGGCGAAGGCAGCCCCCUGGGCCAAUACUGACGCUGAGGAGCGAAAGCGUGGGGAGCGAACAGG
rnacentral:rRNA from 1 species